rnacentral:rRNA from 1 species
AGCAGCCGCGGUAAUUCCAGCUCCAAUAGCGUAUAUUAAAGUUGUUGCAGUUAAAAAGCUCGUAGUUGAAUUUCGGGAUCAAUAUGUUGGUCGUGCCUUGGUACGUACUAAUUUAUUGGUUUCUUCCUUCUGACGAACCAUGAUGUCAUUAAUUUGGUGUCUUGGGGAAUCAGGACUGUUACUUUGAAAAAAUUAGAGUGUUUAAAGCAGGCUCACGCUUGAAUACAUUAGCAUGGAAUAAUGAAAUAGGACGUUUGAUUCUAUUUUGUUGGUUUCUAGGAUUGACGUAAUGAUUAAUAGGGAUAGUUGGGGGCAUUAGUAUUCAAUUGUCAGAGGUGAAAUUCUUGGAUUUAUUGAAGACUAACUACUGCGAAAGCAUUUGCCAAGGAUGUUUUCAUUAAUCAAGAACGAAAGUUAGGGGAUCGAAGACGAUCAGAUACCGUCGUAGUCUUAACCAUAAACUAUGCCGACUAGGGAUCGGAUGAUGUAAUUUUUAAUGACUCAUUCGGCGCCUUACGGA